rnacentral:rRNA from 1 species
CAGCAGCCGCGGGAAUACGUAGGGUGCAAGCGUUAAUCGGAAUUACUGGGCGUAAAGCGUGCGCAGGCGGUUUGUUAAGACAGAUGUGAAAUCCCCGGGCUCAACCUGGGAACUGCAUUUGUGACUGGCAAGCUAGAGUAUGGCAGAGGGGGGUGGAAUUCCGCGUGUAGCAGUGAAAUGCGUAGAUAUGCGGAGGAACACCGAUGGCGAAGGCAGCCCCCUGGGCCAAUACUGACGCUCAUGCACGAAAGCGUGGGGAGCAAACAGGAUUAGAUACCCGGGUAGUCCCUGUCUCUUAUAC